rnacentral:rRNA from 1 species
UACGGAGGGUGCAAGCGUUGUCCGGAUUUAUUGGGUUUAAAGGGUGCGUAGGCGGCCCUGUAAGUCAGUGGUGAAAUACUGCAGCUUAACUGUAGCAUUGCCAUUGAUACUGUAGGGCUUGAGUACAGAUGAGGUAGGCGGAAUUGAUGGUGUAGCGGUGAAAUGCAUAGAUACCAUCAAGAACACCGAUUGCGAAGGCAGCUUACUAAGCUGUAAACUGACGCUGAGGCACGAAAAGCGUGGGGGAUCGAACAGG